rnacentral:rRNA from 1 species
GACAGAGGAGGCGAGCGUUGUCCGGAGUCAUUGGGCGUAAAGGGUACGUAGGCGGCUAGUCAAGUCUGAGGUUAAAGACCACGGCUUAACUGUGGAAAGGCCUUGGAAACUGACUGGCUAGAGUGGGGCAGGGGUUGCGGGAAUUCCCGGUGUAGCGGUGAAAUGCGUAGAUAUCGGGAAGAACACCUGAGGCGAAAGCGCGCAACUGGGCCCUAACUGACGCUGAGGUACGAAAGCUAGGGGAGCGAAUGGG